UUGUUCUUUUCCAUGUAUAUAUUACAUAUAAUCAUGUUAGAAUUUGGUUUAUAUUAGCUCCUAUCAAAUGGACUUAAUAUCAUGUUUUUUAUUAUUGCAUCAUCUUAGUUGUUCCCAAUAGAAUGGUGUAGCCGUGUUUUCAAAAAAGAUUUCAUUCUCUUGUUUCAGUGAAAUCUAUGUAGAAGGAUUGAAGACGCUGAAAUUAAGCACAAGAUAAGGAAGGUAGAUCCGACUUGGGACAUGGAGGCUGAUGAAGGAGACAAUUACACACAUAUUCUAGUAAGAAACAGAGUUGGAUGAUUAUUUGAUAGUUUUAUAGGAAUGUAUAACCCAUGUUAGCAAUGUAUUAUUUUUGUAUAACAUUUGAAUGAUUAUUUGUAUGACAUAUUAUAAUUUGUGCAAUUUAUUUUAUUUUUUGUGUAAGAAA